AAUGAAGGUUGGGGAAAGGGUUUUUGUUUUUCUCCAACCACACUUCAAGCCUCAGGCUGCUCUUUAAUAGAUUUUAUUGUUUAGGUUAACAACUCACUUAUACAUAUGAGUAUGUAUACAUACAUUAAUAUACUAAGCACUAUUAACGUGCCACCUCUUAUUCUACUCGCUCAGCAUUUAUAUUAAAUGAUCUCUACUUAGAAUCAGCUAAAUGUUAUUUUUUUCCCUGUCCACUGGUUGCCAACACAGACUUUAUCCUUACCCAGUUGAAGGACUUCUGUGCGCAUUGAUGUGUAUUCACUUAAUCUUUUUGUGUUCAAACAAAUAAGUUCUAUAUUGAAAUAUGCUUCCAAAAGAAGACUCAUUUUAAUGAUGAAAAUUGAAGUUUUUUGUUGUGUGUGCUAGGUUGUAUUGUAGAAAAGGUACACUAUGGAUUUUUUUCAAAGUGAAGUGUGCUGUACUGGGUGACUGUGUGGAAAUAUUAGAAAUGUGAUGUUUUUGUUUUUUUAAGAGGUGAGCCGGCUAAGCCUUUAAUUUAGUCAAAGGCUUGCUUCUCAAGGAAUACUCCUCGGCCAUCCACGCCAACAGUAAGAUCAUUCGGAAGCACACUAAUCAAAUGAAAAGAGAUUUGAAUUGGCAUGCAUGUGUUUUCUCUUCACCUGUCAGUCACCUUUUGUCAUAUUUAUAACAAAACUUGUUUCUUCUGGCAAAAUGUCAUUGACUAGUUGGCUUUGUAGUUGUUUUUGUUCCUGUCGUUGUUGAGUGAAAAAUCACUGACUUCCAAGUCUUACGGUGAUCUACAUAUCGCCUCACAAGGCAAAGCAUCAUGUUGUCCAGGGAAACUGUCAAACGCAGCAUCGCUCUCAUCCACACACAGUUUGUCUUUGCUUCAGAAUAGUCAUGAAAAUUAGCUUGCCCACAUUUGUUAUUUCUGCUUAAGGAAAUACUAUCAAGGUCCCUCCAGCCAAGACCCUUAAAGAGUGAGAUCACUCCAAAUGUUGUCCAAUGUUUUCAGAUCUCAACAGUGGUCUAAUGUUGACAUGAGGCUAGCCUCUUUUUGAAUCAAAGAGUGUAAUACUUAAACACUUGUCUCUAACAUGUAGGCUCAGCAUACCCAAACAGUCCCAUUACAAGUCAGAAUAUUGAACAAACUCCAUUUCAACUUACUUUACUUGUUGUCUGCAGAUUUUGUCCCGAUGUUGGACACAAUCUGAUACAAAAUAUCCACAGGGAAGUGUUAUCAGCCCGACCUUCAGGACACAGGUCUGUAUAUCGGUUUGUAUUGCUGGUUUUAUUUUCCAAUACUGAUGCAAUUCGCACGUUACAGACACUUGCACAAUAUGGCCAAACCGAACAGACAGAAUGACAAACACUUCCAGCCGAUUGCACGUUCGGUCGACUUAGGCUAUUGUUUUACAUAUUGUGUAUCACGUGCAAUGCGUUAAGAAAUUGAAAAUACAAGCGUCAGAAUGUACCAGCGCCGCAAAAGGGCAGGUAAACAACACUUUCCUGUGGAUACCGUAUCUCCACCACCUACCAACAAAAGGACCAAACAGGAAAGUAAGUGUAAAUAUAAUUUUCCUCAUUCUGGCUUAUGGACUAUUGCGUCUCUUAGGGGGGCUUGGUCAAACUGAAAAUCCAUCGAGUAACCAUGGUAACAGUUUGACAUUUAGGCAAACAUGAGCUCACAUACCAUGCCAUCUGUUGUGUAGAUCCAGCCCUAAGCCUCAAUCCCGAAACCAAUGGCAAAGAUGUGCAUUCUAAUUCAGUGCCUAUUUUUUUCUACUCAUUGGGUUUAGGCAUAUAGCUGAAUAAACACUAGAUGAGGUGGGAUGUAAACUCAAAACAACAUUAAACUACUUGAGGUCUUAAAAUGUGCAACAAACUUUGAUUUGAGUGAGCUGUCCCUUUAAAUUCCAUAGCCGAGGAGAAGUAACAAGGAUGUGGUUUCUGGGAAGAGCAAUGAUCAUGAUCAUGUUCAUGUCAGUCGCCUGCUUUCAUUUGUUUCUGAGUUAAACUGCUGCCUUCCCCUUCUUCACACAGCCAACUCUCCCCAGAAUCACAAUAGUGUUACUGCUGUUUUGGGCUCACAUUUUAAUUUCUUUUUUUUUUUUUUUGAAAAACACAAUGGCUUUUUUUAUAUGAUUACUUCCUUGUAAUAUAUCUCUUAAAUUAAGGUACAGGUUUGAUUUCAGCAAGAAAAAAACGUUUUUAUAUGUAUAUUAUACUCCAUUAAGGAAUGUUUAGAAUUAUCUUCCUCCAAUGUGGAUGUAGACAUUAUUACGCCAUUUUAUGACUUUGUAAGAGAAUUCACUGUGUGAAAAUUGGUUUGCAUUUUUGUAUAAUACAAUCUGCUUUAUUAUUUUUGUUUGAUAUGAGAGUUAGGUCAAACUGGAAGUUUGAAGAGAGAAAUUAACCUGUGAAAUUGAGAAAUAAAAUAAAAAAUAACUUAUGUACAACAGUGAUUCUAUGCUGAGGGAGAAGGAUUAAAUGAUAUUGCUAACUCUUGCUAUUUGCGUCUUGAUUUACUUUGCGUGGCAAAAUGAGUGAACAUCUUUCAGGGCAAGUAUUAACCUGCAUAACUCCACA
ensembl:lncRNA